AUUGAACGCUGGCGGCAUGCCUUACACAUGCAAGUCGAACGGUAACAGGUUAAGCUGACGAGUGGCGAACGGGUGAGUAAUAUAUCGGAACGUGCCCAGUCGUGGGGGAUAACUGCUCGAAAGAGCAGCUAAUACCGCAUACGACCUGAGGGUGAACGCGGGGGAUCGCAAGACCUCGCGCGAUUGGAGCGGCCGAUAUCAGAUUGGGUAGUUGGUGGGGUAAAGGCCUACCAAGCCUACGAUCUGUAGCUGGUCUGAUAGGACGACCAGCCCCACUGGGCCUGAGACACGGCCCAGAAUUCUAGGGGAGGCGGCAGUGGGGAAUUUUGGACAAUGGACGCAAAGCUGAUCCAGCGAUGCCGCGUGCGGGAAGAAGGCCUUCGGGUUGUAAACCGCUUUUGUCAGGGAAGAAAAGGUUCUGGUUAAUACCUGGGACUCAUGACGGUACCUGAAGAAUAAGCACCGGCUAACUACGUGCCAGCCGCCGCAGUAA
rnacentral:rRNA from 1 species